rnacentral:rRNA from 1 species
AACGAACGCUGGCGGCAGGCUUAACACAUGCAAGUCGAGCGCCCCGCAAGGGGAGCGGCAGACGGGUGAGUAACGCGUGGGAACGUACCUUUUGGUUCAGAACAACUCCGGGAAACUGGAGCUAAUACCGGAUAAGCCCUAACGGGGAAAGAUUUAUCGCCGAAAGAUCGGCCCGCGUCUGAUUAGCUAGUUGGUGAGGUAACGGCUCACCAAGGCGACGAUCAGUAGCUGGUCUGAGAGGAUGAUCAGCCACACUGGGACUGAGACACGGCCCAGACUCCUACGGGAGGCAGCAGUGGGGAAUAUUGGACAAUGGGCGCAAGCCUGAUCCAGCCAUGCCGCGUGAGUGAUGAAGGCCUUAGGGUUGUAAAGCUCUUUUGUCCGGGAAGAUAAUGACUGUACCGGAAGAAUAAGCCCCGGCUAACUUCGUG